GACGAACGCUGGCGGCGUGCUUAACACAUGCAAGUCGAGCGGAAAGGCCCUUUCGGGGGUACUCGAGCGGCGAACGGGUGAGUAACACGUGAGUAAUCUGCCCUUCACUCUGGGAUAGCCACCGGAAACGGUGAUUAAUACCGGAUACGACCAAUCCCUGCAUGGGGUGUUGGUGGAAACUUUUUGGGUGGGGGAUGUGCUCGCGGCCUACCAGCUUGUUGGUGGGGUAAUGGCCUACCAAGGCUUCGACGGGUAGCCGGCCUGAGAGGGUGACCGGCCACACUGGGACUGAGACACGGCCCAGACUCCUACGGGAGGCAGCAGUGGGGAAUAUUGGACAAUGGGCGGAAGCCUGAUCCAGCAACGCCGCGUGAGGGAUGACGGCCUUCGGGUUGUAAACCUCUUUCAGCACCGACGAAGCGAUCCUUUUGGGGAGUGACGGUAGGUGCAGAAGAAGGACCGGCCAACUACGUGCCAGCCGCCGCCGUAAUAC
rnacentral:rRNA from 1 species